rnacentral:rRNA from 1 species
UACGUAGGGGGCGAGCGUUGUCCGGAAUUAUUGGGCGUAAAGAGCGUGUAGGCGGUUCGGUAAGUCUGCCGUGAAAACCUGGGGCUCAACCCCGGGCGUGCGGUGGAUACUGCCGGGCUAGAGGGUGGUAGAGGCGAGUGGAAUUCCUGGUGUAGCGGUGAAAUGCGCAGAUAUCAGGAGGAACACCGGUGGCGAAGGCGGGUCUCUGGGCCGAUACUGACGCUGAGGAGCGAAAGCGUGGGGAGCGAACAGG